CAGGACAUGAUCAACAUGAAGAGCGAGUAAAUAGUCUUGACAGUAGAGAUCACGUGGGAGGUCCAUCUGACCACGUAAAUAGUCUUGACAGUAGAGAUCACGUGGGAGGUCCAUCUGACCACGUAAAUAGUCUUGACAGUAGAGAUCACGUGGGAGGUCCAUUCAGACGCGAGUAAAUAGUCUUGACAGUAGAGAUCACGUGGGAGGUCCAU